GCGCGACAACAAAAGGGUAAAAAAAUAUGCAGGUCUAGUUUCUCUUUUGCAAAUUACGAUGAGCUUGAAGAAGUCACACUACAGGGGUGAUAUUUUGAGCACAACACUGUGCACAAAAAAUGUAAUCCAGUGAGGUAAACAGUAGUUACUAUUCUUUAUCUUCUAGCCUGGACAUACAGCUAGUAUAUGAAGAGCUUGUGCUUAUCAGGCGAUAUAUUUAUGAGGAGUCUCAGAAUUAUGGAAGAAAAACAUGUUCAUGUGGGUAUUACGUGCCCGCAAGGGGCAUCGACCUUCAUCCAGGAGAUGUUCAGG